UCCAGACUCCUACGGGAGGCAGCAGUGAGGAAUAUUGGUCAAUGGACGAGAGUCUGAACCAGCCAAGUAGCGUGCAGGAUGACGGCCCUAUGGGUUGUAAACUGCUUUUAUAAGGGAAUAAAGUUAGUCUCGUGAGAUUUUUGCAUGUACCUUAUGAAUAAGGACCGGCUAAUUCCGUGC
rnacentral:rRNA from 1 species